rnacentral:rRNA from 1 species
UACGUAGGGUGCAAGCGUUAAUCGGAAUUACUGGGCGUAAAGCGUGCGCAGGCGGUUUUGUAAGUCAGAUGUGAAAUCCCCGGGCUCAACCUGGGAACUGCAUUUGUGACUGCAUAGCUAGAGUACGGUAGAGGGGGAUGGAAUUCCGCGUGUAGCAGUGAAAUGCGUAGAUAUGCGGAGGAACACCGAUGGCGAAGGCAAUCCCCUGGGCCUGCACUGACGCUCAUGCACGAAAGCGUGGGGAGCAAACAGG